UUCCCGAAGAAGACCUCAAUUGUCACAUUUGAUAUCAAUAUGCAUAAGUGAUAUGGGCCUGUAUAAAAUACAAUUACUUGUGUUCUUUGUAACUAUGGGGAUGAGUAUUGAACAAAGUGAAACAUGCCGCUAUUAAAUAUUAAACAGCCAUCUAGGCCUGUCUCGUGGUUGAGUGCAGUUAGGUGCUGCAUGUUAUCACAAACAGAGGGAUGGCUAUGCUACGCUGAGGCCUCCAGAGACCACAUGAUGGAGUCAAACAAGGUCAACGCCAGACAUACUUCCUGUUUGGGGCCCGCUAUUUUUGCAACCAGGGCGUUCUCCCCCGGUCGAGCCGAUUUGACAUUAUGAAUCGUUUCUCUCUCAGUCAAUAUAGGGAACAGAAGUAGGCUACUGUAAUACAGAAAAGUUGACUUGCUUUAGCCCAUGUGUUAAACAUAUAGUAUGCUUCUAUCUAUAGUGGAGGACUUUACAACUCUCCUACAGUAGGCUCAAUAGGAAAUUGAACUUUGAGGGGGGAAAAAAACCGUGUGGAGCCUGAUUCUUGUGUUAGCAGAAAAGGUAGUCUGGAGGGUUGGGACAUGAACACGAGGAAGACGGUGAACUUGGACUACUUGGCUAGGUGAAGAAGGAUCCCACCUGGUCCAGCGUUUAGAAGAGAGUACAGAACACUAUGGAGACAGACUGAUCGUCAAUAACCCUGAAGAGUGACCAUUCUCCCCUGACCGUCGCACCCAUCUUCCCAGCCUGGACACCUGCAUGCAGCCUGUCUCUGCUCUGUGGGGAAGUUACCCCAUUAUAGCAUAUCACCUCCAUUUACACCCAUUCACAGACUGUUGCAGGACAAAAUGAGAACGGGUAACAUUUCCUUUGUUAGACCACCUGAUGCUUUAUUUGGGUUAUUGGGGCCUGUUGUGUUUGAGUGAAAGUGUACUUUAGGGUGAGUGUGUUUGUGUUGUCGCCUCUCGCUGUAUCUGUUUGAGUGUGUCUGAAUGACAUUCCCCCUUCAUCCGUCAGUCUUUCAGGUGAAUGUGUCCUGGCGAGAUGAGGUAGUAGGUUGUAUAGUUUGUGGGAGGGAUUUAAUCCUAUUCAGGUGAUAACUAUACAGUCUAUUGCCUUCCUUGAGAGGCACAAUGACAGUCUGCAGCAACGAGGAAGUCCCCAGCUCUCUGAAUUCCUCAAUGCGUUGGAUGCAAUCUCACUAUGAUAAAGCAACAGCUGGAGCACAAAUGGGUUUAUAGCCUCUCCACCGCCACUUGGUGGCCAAGGAGCAGCAGGACUCCAGAGACCUUCUUGUAGGUUCAGGAUUCAGAGCUUCUCAAGAAUGAAAGGAUAUGAAAAGCACUCAACAGAGAAUGCAUCAGUGUUACAAAAUCUAAACAAUAAAGGGUUGGUUCUCCAGAACCAAAUCAAGCCCUAAAUAAAUGCGUAUAGGCUUGUGAUAUGUUUUAUGGUAACAUUAUUCAAUGUUGUAUUAAUUAAUAAAGGUUAAAUAUAGCUAUUAAA
ensembl:lncRNA